rnacentral:rRNA from 1 species
UACAGAGGUCUCAAGCGUUGUUCGGAUUCAUUGGGCGUAAAGGGCGCGUAGGCUGCGAGGCAAGUCGGGUGUGAAAUCUCAGAGCUCAACUCUGAAACUGCACUCGAUACUGCUUUGCUCGAGGACUGGAGAGGAGAUUGGAAUUCACGGUGUAGCAGUGAAAUGCGUAGAUAUCGUGAGGAAGACCAGUGGCGAAGGCAGCUCGCUGGGACGGUACUGACGCUGAGACGCGAAAGCGUGGGGAGCAAACAGG